CGGUACCUGAAGAAAAAGCAUCGGCUAACUCCGUGCCAGCAGCCGCGGUAAUACGGAGGAUGCAAGCGUUAUCCGGAAUCAUUGGGCGUAAAGGGUCCGCAGGUGGCGAAUAAAGUCUGCUGUUAAAGACCGGGGCUUAACUCCGGAAAGGCAGUGGAAACUGAUUAGCUAGAGUACGGUAGGGGUAGAGGGAAUUCCCAGUGUAGCGGUGAAAUGCGUAGAUAUUGGGAAGAACACCGGUGGCGAAAGCGCUCUACUAGGCCGAAACUGACACUGAGGGACGAAAGCUAGGGUAGCGAAAGGGAUUAGAUACCCCUGUAGUCUUAGCGGUAAACGAUGGAUACUAGGUGUAGCUUGUAUCGACCCGAACUGUGCCGAAGCUAACGCGAUAAGUAUCCCGCCUGGGGAGUACGCACGCAAGUGUGAAACUCAAAGGAAUUGACGGGGGCCCGCACAAGCGGUGGAGUAUGUGGUUUAAUUCGAUGCAACGCGAAGAACCUUACCAGGGCUUGACAUGUCGCGAAUCUAGCGGAAACGUUAGAGUGCCUUAGGGAAUGCGAACACAGGUGGUGCAUGGCUGUCGUCAGCUCGUGUCGUGAGAUGUUGGGUUAAGUCCCGCAACGAGCGCAACCCUCGUCCUUAGUUGCCAAUAUUAAGUUAGGCACUCUAGGGAGACUGCCGGGGACAACUCGGAGGAAGGUGGGGAUGACGUCAAGUCAGCAUGCCCCUUACGUCCUGGGCUACACACGUACUACAAUGGUUGGGACAAAGGGCAGCAAGCUCGCGAGAGUAAGCGAAUCUCAUCAAACCCAGCCACAGUUCAGAUUGCAGGCUGCAACUCGCCUGCAUGAAGUAGGAAUCGCUAGUAAUCGCAGGUCAGCAUACUGCGGUGAAUUCGUUCCCGGACCUUGUACACACCGCCCGUCACACCAUGGAAGCUGGCUACGCCCGAAGUCGUUACCCUAACCCGGUUUUGGGAGGGGGAUGCCGAAGGUAGAGCUAGUGACUGGGGUGAAGUCGUAACAGGGUAGCCGUACCGGAAGGUGUGGCUGGAUCACCUCCUUU
rnacentral:rRNA from 1 species